UAACAAAAAUAUGUCAUCUUUUUUCAGAAAUUAAAACAGGAAGGUGGAAGGAUCUCAUGUUUACUAGAAGUGGUGCGGUCGGAUGAAAACAGCAAACAGAAAGUAGAAAAAGGAAGUUUUGACAUUGAGUUGAUGAAUCGGACGUGAAUUUGGAGAGAGUGGUACACCAAGAGCUUCACAUUUUAAAACAGCUGAUUCUCCAGGUCUAUGAUUAAUUCUAUGUGCAGUGGAGUGAAUUCUAGCAGGAAAAUUUCUCUGAAAUUAAAACAGGAAGGUGGAAGGAUCUCAUGUUUACUAGAAGUGGUGCGGUCGGAUGAAAACAGCAAACAGAAAGUAGAAAAAGGAAGUUUUGACAUUGAGGUUGAUUAACUUUUUAUUCUUCGUGGCAAGGUGCCAUUUUUUUUGCAUGAAAUCAUAGUAUAACAUUACUAAA